rnacentral:rRNA from 1 species
UCCAGACUCCUACGGGAGGCAGCAGUAGGGAAUAUUGCACAAUGGGGGAAACCCUGAUGCAGCGACGCCGCGUGGGUGAAGAAGCGCCUCGGCGCGUAAAGCCCUGUCAGCAGGGAAGAAAAUGACGGUACCUGAAGAAGAAGCCCCGGCUAACUACGUGCCAGCAGCCGCGGUAAUACGUAGGGGGCAAGCGUUAUCCGGAUUUACUGGGUGUAAAGGGAGCGUAGACGGCUAAUCAAGUCAGAAGUGAAAACCCAGGGCUCAACCUUGGGAGUGCUUUUGAAACUGAGUAGCUAGAGUGCAGGAGAGGUAAGCGGAAUUCCUAGUGUAGCGGUGAAAUGCGUAGAUAUUAGGAGGAACACCAGUGGCGAAGGCGGCUUACUGGACUGUAACUGACGUUGAGGCUCGAAAGCGUGGGGAGCAAACAGGAUUAGAUACCCUGGUA